rnacentral:rRNA from 1 species
GACGAACGCUGGCGGCGUGCCUAAUACAUGCAAGUUGAGCGCUGAAGGUUGGUACUUGUACCAACUGGAUGAGCAGCGAACGGGGGAGUAACGCGUGGGGAAUCUGCCUUUGAGCGGGGGACAACAUUUGGAAACGAAUGCUAAUACCGCAUAAAAACUUUAAACACAAGUUUUAAGUUUGAAAGAUGCAAUUGCAUCACUCAAAGAUGAUCCCGCGUUGUAUUAGCUAGUUGGUGAGGUAAAGGCUCACCAAGGCGAUGAUACAUAGCCGACCUGAGAGGGUGAUCGGCCACAUUGGGACUGAGACACGGCCCAAACUCCUACGGGAGGCAGCAGUAGGGAAUCUUCGGCAAUGGACGAAAGUCUGACCGAGCAACGCCGCGUGAGUGAAGAAGGUUUUCGGAUCGUAAAACUCUGUUGGUAGAGAAGAACGUUGGUGAGAGUGGAAAGCUCAUCAAGUGACGGUAACUACCCAGAAAGGGACGGCUAACUACGUG